GUGUUCCCCUCCCACCUGGCCUCCCUCCCAUUCACCAUGAGGAUCCUGACGCACAGCCCCCUCCCCGGCAUGAAGACCACCAACGGGGAGCCAGGCUACGUCAGCAAGUCAUGCAGCGUUUGUGAAAGGAAUACACGUCGAUGGUGUCCCUUUGUGUUUGGAGGACCGCAUCUGUCAGCACGCGGCCACCUCCAGCUGUGCCGUGCGCCCGGGGCGCACUCGUGGUGGGUCUGACCAUCUCCUCUGUGGAUGUACCGGGGAUCUCCUCACCCACUGCCUCCAUCUGUAGAGUGACUGGAGAUAAAUAAAAAAUGUUAUUCGCUGCUUUUUACAUGGCUGUUAAAUUAAAUAAACAAUAAUUUACCGGUC